rnacentral:rRNA from 1 species
AUUGAACGCUGGCGGAAUGCUUUACACAUGCAAGUCGAACGGCAGCACGGGGGCAACCCUGGUGGCGAGUGGCGAACGGGUGAGUAAUACAUCGGAACGUGCCCAGUCGUGGGGGAUAACUACGCGAAAGCGUAGCUAAUACCGCAUACGAACUCUGGUUGAAAGCGGGGGAUCGCAAGACCUCGCGCGAUUGGAGCGGCCGAUGGCAGAUUAGGUAGUAGGUGGGGUAAAGGCUCACCAAGCCGACGAUCUGUAGCUGGUCUGAGAGGACGACCAGCCACACUGGGACUGAGACACGGCCCAGACUCCUACGGGAGGCAGCAGUGGGGAAUUUUGGACAAUGGGCGCAAGCCUGAUCCAGCCAUUCCGCGUGCAGGAUGAAGGCCCUCGGGUUGUAAACUGCUUUUGUACGGAACGAAACGCGCCGGGCUAAUACCCUGGCGUAAUGACGGUACCGUAAGAAUAAGCACCGGCUAACUACGUGCCAGCCGCCGCGGUAA